UACGGGGGGCGCAAGCGUUGUUCGGAUUUACUGGGCGUAAAGGGCGCGUAGGCGGCGUGACAAGUCACUUGUGAAAUCUCCGGGCUUAACUCGGAACGGUCAAGUGAUACUGUCGUGCUAGAGUACAGAAGGGGCAACUGGAAUUCUCGGUGUAGCGGUGAAAUGCGUAGAUAUCAGGAGGAACACCGAUGGCGAAGGCAGGUCUCUGGGCCACUACUGGCGCUGAGAAGCGAAAGCAUGGGGAGCGAACAGG
rnacentral:rRNA from 1 species